UACGUAGGGGGCAAGCGUUGUCCGGAAUCAUUGGGCGUAAAGAGCGUGUAGGCGGUUCGAUAAGUCUGCUGUGAAAGUCCAAGGCUCAACCUUGGGAUGCCGGUGGAUACUGUCGAACUCGAGUCCGGAAGAGGAGUGUGGAAUUCCUGGUGUAGCGGUGAAAUGCGCAGAUAUCGAGGAGGAACACCGAUGGCGAAGGCAGCACUCUGGGACGUGACUGACGCUGAGACGCGAAAGCGUGGGGAGCGAACAGG
rnacentral:rRNA from 1 species